GGGUUAGUCGAUCCUAAG
rnacentral:snRNA from 1 species